rnacentral:rRNA from 1 species
AGAACGAACGCUGGCGGCAGGCUUAACACAUGCAAGUCGAACGCCCCGCAAGGGGAGUGGCAGACGGGUGAGUAACACGUGGGAACAUGCCCAAAGGUACGGAACAACUCCGGGAAACUGGAGCUAAUACCGUAUGUGUCCGUAAGGAGAAAGAUUUAUCGCCUUUGGAUUGGCCCGCGUCGGAUUAGCUAGUUGGUGGGGUAAAAGCCUACCAAGGCGACGAUCCGUAGCUGGUUUGAGAGAACGACCAGCCACACUGGGACUGAGACACGGCCCAGACUCCUACGGGAGGCAGCAGUGGGGAAUCUUGGACAAUGGGCGCAAGCCUGAUCCAGCCAUGCCGCGUGGAUGAUGAAGGCCUUAGGGUUGUAAAAUCCUUUCGUUGGGGACGAUAAUGACGGUACCCAAAGAAGAAGCUCGGCUAACUUCGCGCCAGCAGCCGC